rnacentral:sRNA from 1 species
GAGUCCGUCCCCUGGUAUGAAACGGCGCUCCGGGGUGCUCCCCGCUACCCUUGCCGGGUGCCCCUUCCUCCAGAAGGCGCAAAGCCGACAGCCGUCGCAGCCCCGGGAGUACGUUUAUG